rnacentral:rRNA from 1 species
ACGAACGCUGGCGGCGUGCCUAAUACAUGCAAGUAGAACGCUGAAGGAGGAGCUUGCUCUUCUGGAUGAGUUGCGAACGGGUGAGUAACGCGUAGGUAACCUGCCUGGUAGCGGGGGAUAACUAUUUGAAACGAUAGCUAAUACCGCAUAACAGUAGAUGUUGCAUGACAUUUACUUAAAAGGUGCAAUUGCAUCACUACCAGAUGGACCUGCGUUGUAUUAGCUAGUUGGUGGGGUAACGGCUCACCAAGGCGACGAUACAUAGCCGACCUGAGAGGGUGAUCGGCCACACUGGGACUGAGACACGGCCCAGACUCCUACGGGAGGCAGCAGUAGGGAAUCUUCGGCAAUGGACGGAAGUCUGACCGAGCAACGCCGCGUGAGUGAAGAAGGGUUUCGGAUCGUAAAGCUCUGUUGUAAGAGAAGAACGAGUGUGAGAGUGGAAAGUUCACACUGUGACGGUAGCUUACCAGAAAGGGACGGCUAACUACGUG